AGANAGUGAACCGAAGAAGAAGAAGAGAAGAACGUGGGCAGUUCAGAUCUAUGGUUAGUAUUCGAACCCUUUCGUAAGCAUGUUUGAAGAAAAGAAAACUGAUUUAUUUCUGUAUGUAUGUUUUGUUACAAAAUGAAAAGAGGGAAACUCUAUUUAUAGAGUUCCCGAUGGAAGAAUAAAAACGAAAAGAACAGAAAACAGAAAACGUAACAACUAAC
rnacentral:lncRNA from 1 species